rnacentral:rRNA from 1 species
AAACUCACCAGGUCAGGACACGGUAAGGAUUGACGGACUGAAGGCUCUUUCUCGAUUCCGUGGAAAGUGGUGCAUGGCCGUUUUGGUUGGUGGAUCGAUCCGUCUGGUUAAUUCCGUUAACGAACGAGACCUCGGCACUCCGAAUAGCGCGGCGGACGUCGCGGCCUUCCGGGCCGUCUUCCGCACGAGCUUCUUAGAGGGACCGUCCCCCGCCGGGGAAGGAGGUGCGAGGCAACGACAGGUCUGUGAUGCCCUUAGAUGUUCUGGGCCGCACGCGCAUUACACUGACGCGUCCAACGGGUGACUCCCGACCCGAAGGGGCCGGGGAAUCCGCAAGGCGCGUCGUGAUGGGGAUUGAACGUUGCAAUUGUUGUUCACGAACGAGGAAUUCCUAGUAGGCG